rnacentral:lncRNA from 1 species
UCUGGACUGGGGGGUGAGCUCAGAGGACCGUAGGAGGACAUCUCUAAUCACUGCGAUUCCAUCACCAGGCGAGGAGGGGUGUAUGACAGGCUGUGGUUUGGGCCUGGGCAGGGGGCUUGAAGGGGGAGAGGUGUGUUAGGGAGGGUAUGAUGGGUCAUUGCUCGGGCUGCCGUCUAGGAGGAAGGCAAUAGUGGCCCCUCUUCAAAUCAACCUCCAAGAGAACAGUCCUGUGCUAUUGUGCUCACUAUGCAGUGCUGUUGAUCCCAAUGACUCCUGACUUCACCCUCACAAUGAUAGGAAUUUAGCUUUUGCUGAUGGAUACCUUUGCCCUACCCAUGGGGUUGAAAGAGGCUGCAUGGGAAUGAGGAUGCAUCAACACCCUGGAAAGAUGUUGGUGGUGCACUCACUCAUAACACUUUUUUGUGAUGAAUUAGUGUAUCGUCUUCAAGCUUGAUAAGAAGCAGUUACCAGGCAAAAAUACAAAUUGAGGCCUUCAAUCAAAAUGAGGACAGAGAAAUGUGUGUGCACAGGGUUAAUACUUCUUGCAUGCAUGUCCUUGAGAUUGCAUGCAUUCAACAAGCUUUGGACGAAGGAGUUCCACAGGUCUGCCAUCUCCAAUGUUUACUCAGAACAAGGCAGCAUGGCUGGCCCUUAAAUGUACAUGGAGAGCUAACAUUAAUAAUAUGCAUUUACUGUAAAUGGCUCAUAGUGAAGGAGAGAUUGACUUCAUCACUACUUGUUUUUAUAAGAAGUGUUGACAUAUUGAAUGUAGAAAGGUGUCUGUUUAAACUACUAGCUGCUUGGACACCCAUGCAUAUCCCAGAAGACAUGCCACCAAAGGUCUCUUCACAAUCCCCAAGUCAAGAACAGAUCAUGGGAGGCGCACAGUACUGCAUAGAGCCAUGGCUACAUGGAACUCUAUUCCACAUCAGGUAACUGAUGCAAGCACUAGAAUCAGUUAAAAAUACACCUUAUGGAACAGUGGGGACUGUGAAGAGACACACACACACACACACACACAGGCACAGAAACACAUACGCACUCUACACACACAUACACAUGGAUUUGUAAUCCCAGAUACAGUACCAGUCAAAAGUUUGGACACAUCCACUCAUUCCAGGUUUUUUCUUUAUUUUUACUAUUUUCUACAUUGUCGAAUAAUAGUGAAGACAUCACAACUAUGAAAUAACACAUGGAAUCAUGUUGCCACAAAACUAAUUUGCAUGUGAAACUAUGAGCUUGUGGCAAAUUGGCAAAAGAUUUGCCACAAUUGUUUGCCAGAAGCCUGUUUUUUGGUAAGGGUGCCUCACAGUUAAAUAAAGGUUAAAAAAAUAUAUAAAAAUGUAGACCUUUCCCAGGUUCUCUUGUUAAUGUGAGUGGGGAAAGAAUUUAUUUCAUGUGGGGAUUAAAGGUAUACUUUGUGAUUUUGGCAAUGAGGCCCUUUAUCUACUUCCCCAGAGUCAGAUGAACUUGUAGAUACCAUUUGUAGGUCUCUGUGUCAAGUAUGUGUCAUAGUCCGUGUCACAUUCUUCGUCUGAUAAAGAUAAAUCAUUGUCGGACCAAUACGCAGCAGGGAAAUGUGCACUCAUCUUCUUUUUAUUUAAAUGGACAAAGAAGGUAAACCAAAAAUAAAUAUGUACACAAAAACACAACGACAAAUAACAGGCCGGUAAGGCACAGAGCUAUACACAGCACAUAAUCUCCCACAAAAUACCAAAAUAAAC